AUGAACGCUAGCGGCAGGCCUAACACAUGCAAGUCGAGGGGCAUCACGAGGUAGCAAUACUUUGGUGGCGACCGGCGCACGGGUGCGUAACGCGUAUGUAACCUACCUAUAACAGGGGCAUAACACUGAGAAAUUGGUACUAAUUCCCCAUAAUAUUCGGAGAGGCAUCUCUCCGGGUUGAAAACUCCGGUGGUUAUAGAUGGACAUGCGUUGUAUUAGCUAGUUGGUGAGGUAACGGCUCACCAAGGCAACGAUACAUAGGGGGACUGAGAGGUUAACCCCCCACACUGGUACUGAGACACGGACCAGACUCCUACGGGAGGCAGCAGUGAGGAAUAUUGGUCAAUGGACGCAAGUCUGAACCAGCCAUGCCGCGUGCAGGAAGACGGCUCUAUGAGUUGUAAACUGCUUUUGUACGAGGGUAAACUCACCUACGUGUAGGUGACUGAAAGUAUCGUACGAAUAAGGAUCGGCUAACUCCGUGCCAGCAGCCGCGGUAAUACGGAGGAUUCAAGCGUUAUCCGGAUUUAUUGGGUUUAAAGGAUGCGUAGGCGGUUUGAUAAGUUAGAGGUGAAAUCCCGGGGCUUAACUCCGGAACUGCCUCUAAUACUGUUAGACUAGAGAGUAGUUGCGGUAGGCGGAAUGUAUGGUGUAGCGGUGAAAUGCUUAGAGAUCAUACAGAACACCGAUUGCGAAGGCAGCUUACCAAACUAUAUCUGACGUUGAGGCACGAAAGCGUGGGGAGCAAACAGGAUUAGAUACCCUGGUAGUCCACGCAGUAAACGAUGAUAACUCGUUGUCGGCGAUACACAGUCGGUGACUAAGCGAAAGCGAUAAGUUAUCCACCUGGGGAGUACGUUCGCAAGAAUGAAACUCAAAGGAAUUGACGGGGGCCCGCACAAGCGGAGGAACAUGUGGUUUAAUUCGAUGAUACGGGAGGAACCUUACCCGGGCUUAAAUUGCAGAUGAAUUACGGUGAAAGCCGUAAGCCGCAAGGCAUCUGUGAAGGUGCUGCAUGGUUGUCGUCAGCUCGUGCCGUGAGGUGUCGGGUUAAGUCCCAUAACGAGCGCAACCCCUACCGUUAGUUGCCAUCAGGUCAAGCUGGGCACUCUGGCGGGACUGCCGGUGUAAGCCGAGAGGAAGGUGGGGAUGACGUCAAAUCAGCACGGCCCUUACGUCCGGGGCUACACACGUGUUACAAUGGUAGGUACAGAGGGUCGCUACUCCGUGAGGAGAUGCCAAUCUCGAAAGCCUAUCUCAGUUCGGAUUGGAGGCUGAAACCCGCCUCCAUGAAGUUGGAUUCGCUAGUAAUCGCGCAUCAGCCAUGGCGCGGUGAAUACGUUCCCGGGCCUUGUACACACCGCCCGUCAAGCCAUGGAAGCUGGGGGUGCCUGAAGUUCGUGACCGCAAGGAGCGACCUAGGGCAAAACCGGUAACUGGGGCU
rnacentral:rRNA from 1 species